UACGGAGGGUGCGAGCGUUGUUCGGAAUCACUGGGCGUAAAGCGCGUGUAGGCGGCCUCCUAAGUCCGAUGUGAAAGCCCGGGGCUCACCCCCGGAAGUGCAUCGAAUACUGGGAGACUCGAGUACCGGAGAGGAAGGUGGAAUUCCUGGUGUAGCGGUGAAAUGCGUAGAUAUCAGGAGGAACACCGGUGGCGAAGGCGGCCUUCUGGACGGAUACUGACGCUGAGACGCGAAAGCGUGGGGAGCAAACAGG
rnacentral:rRNA from 1 species